rnacentral:lncRNA from 1 species
AUAAAUCCAUUCUUAGGGACACCUUGGUCGAGGCAUCCUACCGAGACCGCCAAGGCUAUUAAAAUUCACAUUUCACAUAAAUCAUGUUUUUGUUUUGAAAACAUAGCCAUUCCUUGGCGUUGGCUGAGUUUCCCCUCACGUGGUGGUUUGACGUGAAGUGAACCCUAAGCUUUACCCCAGGAGAUACCCUACGCGCCUCUCCGUUCG